UGGGGAGUCGUCUAAUGGCAGGACAUGCGGUUCUGGUCCGUAGAGUGGGGGUUCGAAUCCUCUCUCCCCAGCCA
rnacentral:tRNA from 1 species